rnacentral:tmRNA from 2 species
GGGGUCGACCGGAAUCGACAGGAAGUGUAAAUGAUGUACUUGCAUGUCAGGUGGAAAGUGUACACCUGUGAUCAAUUCACUUAAACUAUAAUUGGCGAAUCUAAUUACGCCAUGGCAGCCUAAUUACGACUUAGAUGUUGUAAUUAAUUAGGGUUGAGGCCAAAGCCUCCCCCUGCCACAUCCCUCCAGGAUUCUGUCCUGUAAUCAGGAUCAAGGGGUGUCGACCUUCAGGACUAGUGCAGACGAUGCUAUUAAGACUGUGCGAAACUCAAAUAGCUGGCAGGCCGAGUAGGGUGUUGUUCUCCGGCUCACCUGCGAGAUAAAAUGAGCAACUAAGCAUGUAGAAGGUCCAUGAUUUCCUUUGCUGGACGAGGGUUCGAAUCCCUCCGACUCCACCU